UGUCUGGCAUCGAUGAGACGCAGCGAUGCGAUAAGUAAUGUGAAUUGCAGAAUUCAGUGAAUCAUCGAAUCUUUGAACGCACAUUGCGCCCGCCGGUAUUCCGGCGGCAUGCCUGUUCGAGCGUCAUUUACACCCUCAAGCCUCGCUUGGUUGUUGGG
rnacentral:rRNA from 1 species